ACGCUCGACACCUACGGGAGACAGCAGUAGGGAAUCUUCCACAAUGGGCGCAAGCCUGAUGGAGCAACACCGCGUGAGUGAAGAAGGGUUUCGGCUCGUAAAGCUCUGUUGUUGGAGAAGAACGUGCGUGAGAGUAACUGUUCACGCAGUGACGGUAUCCAACCAGAAAGUCACGGCUAACUACGCGCCAGCAGCCGCGGUAAUCUGAGCGGGCUGGCAAGGC
rnacentral:rRNA from 1 species